rnacentral:rRNA from 1 species
CCUACGGGAGGCAGCAGUGGGGAAUAUUGGACAAUGGGCGCAAGCCUGAUCCAGCCAUACCGCGUGUGUGAAGAAGGCCUUCGGGUUGUAAAGCACUUUAAGUAAGGAAGAAAAGUAUAUUGUUAAUACCAAUGUACCGUGACAUUACUUACAGAAUAAGGACCGGCUAAUUCCGUGCCAGCAGCCGCGGUAAUACGGAAGGUCCAAGCGUUAAUCGGAAUUACUGGGCGUAAAGCGCGCGUAGGUGGUUUAUUAAGUUGGGUGUGAAAGCCCCGGGCUCAACCUGGGAACUGCAUCCAAAACUGAUUCACUAGAGUACGAAAGAGGGAGGUAGAAUUCACAGUGUAGCGGUGGAAUGCGUAGAUAUUGUGAAGAAUACCAAUGGCGAAGGCAGCCUCCUGGUUCUGUACUGACACUGAGGUGCGAAAGCGUGGGUAGCGAACAGGAUUAGAUACCCUGGUAGUCCACGCCGUAAACGAUGACAACCAGCUGUUGGGAAGCAAUGCUUUUCAGUGGCGCAGCUAACGUCUUAAGUUGUCCGCCUGGGGAGUACGGCCGCAAGGUUAAAACUCAAAUGAAUUGACGG